rnacentral:rRNA from 1 species
GGGCCCGCACAAGCAGCGGAGCGUGUGGUUUAAUUCGAGGCUACACGAAGAACCUUACCCGGGUUUGACAUACAAGUAGUAGUGAAGCGAAAGCGGAACGACCUUCGGGAGCUUGAACAGGUGCUGCAUGGCUGUCGUCAGCUCGUGCCGUGAGGUGUUCGGUUAAGUCCGCAAACGAGCGCAACCCUCGGCGUUAGUUACAAGUGUCUAACGCAACUGCCCGUGAGAAACGGGAGGAAGGUGGGGAUGACGUCAAGUCAGCAUGGCCUUUAUAUCCGGGGCUACACACACGCUACAAUGGGCGGUACAACGGGUCGCGAAGCCGCGAGGUGGAGCCAAUCCAGAAAGCCGUUCGUAGUUCGGAUUGCAGGCUGCAACUCGCCUGCAUGAAGUCGGAGUUGCUAGUAACCGCAGGUCAGCUAUACUGCGGUGAAUACGUUCCCGGGCCUUGUACACACCGCCCGUCACGUCAUGGGAGCUGGUCACGCCUGAAGUCGGGGANCUAACCGCAAGG